UAUGUACUAUUAACUCCAUUAAAAUACACUUAGAAUUACACUAAUUAUGUACUUCUAGGUAACUAAGUAUACUGGAUAACUAAACCAUUAGUUUACUUUAUACAGACUAUUAGUCUGUAUGUGUUCUGUAUGUGUAUAAUGUUCAGUAGUAAUGCAGGUAGGAAGACCCAGGACACGCUGGAGAGAACGCCUUGGGGUCCCACCGGAAGAGCUGGAGGAAGUGUCCAGGGAGAAGGAAGUCUGGAACUGUCUGCUCAGACUGCUGCCCCCGCGACCCAGCCCCAAAUAAGCGGAUGAAAAUGGAUGGAUUGAUGGAUAGUAAUGCAUUUAUAACACAUUAGAUAAUGUUUAUUUAAUAUAUGAAAUGCUUUCUCUUAUCUGAUGGGGUUUAACCUUUAGUGCUGUCUGGUGUUUUAUAGAUGGACUAAAGGAAGGAAAGAACCAAACCAAGUCAAUCUUUUUUUACACUUUUCGUCACAACACACACAACUAAAAACAUUAGUGACAUGGAGCUUUGAGAACCUUUCAAAUAAUGAACAACAUAUAUACAGUACAAUACACAAUAAUACAAACUAUCUGCAAACACGGUUACUAUGGUAUUUACAUUGCUUAGAGAACAUGAUCUUCAUGAAUCGCUUUGUUUGUCCCCACUGGUUCAUACUAAUGUUCACAUCACUAGAGAACAUGAUGCAGCAUUAUCUGAUAAACACCAACUAUAGUGUUUGCUACCACCUAAAAAGUGAUAUUUAUUACUUAAAGGUAAGAGGUUACAGUUAACCAAACCACAGAACAUUAACACCAUUAUAUAUACUAUCUUUUAAUUCAAAAUGAAACUUACUGAGUUGGAAACUUACUUCUGCUUUCCACUUUCGUUUAACAACAACAAAGUGCAUCAUGAUUGGUCAGGACAGGGCCUUAUAUAGAGCUGGUACUGUACGCAGGCAAAACAUAGCUUUGAAUGCCUUCAGACCCCUUGAAAACAAACCAAAAAAAGCAGGAAAAAAAAGAAAAAAAAAAAACCUGCCUACCCCCAGGUGGGGGUAGGCUACCCCCAUCUGAGGGUGGGCAGGUUGCCAAAUGUGACGGACAGAGACAGACAACAGGAUCCACAUACGACUCCCAUGAAACCCUUUUUAAUAACAGCUCCAAUGAUCAUUAUGACUCAGCUCAAUUAUCUCUUUGUAAGACCAUUCAAGACAUAUGCUUGUCUGUGCUCAACAAACACCCACCUCUCAAAAAAGAUGCAUGUGAAGUUAUCUGUGAUACGCAUGGCAAAACAUAUGUAAUAUUGUUCAGAAUCAAUUUGUGGCAUCCACGGGUUGUUUGGAACUUUUUUUUUGUUAAUGAUGAUGCCAACAUCCACCGUUUAAGAUACAUCACUCCAUUGGAUGAUGACCAGCAGCCACGAAGGACCGUUUGGAUACAUGAACAAAAUGAGAUUGAAAGUUCUUACCCUGACAAGGCUUUUCAGUUAAAUUGGCAGAAAAUAAACCCAACCACAAAGAAUGAUAUACUUAAUAAAUUACAGGAUCUCAGCGAUGAGUUUAAAAACAGAACAAAUCAAUAUGGAUGGGUUUUAAAUAUUUUCAGUGAUCAUGUAGAAAAAAUAACAGUGGAUAAGCCAGAGUUUAAUAAUGAGUCAUCAUCAAAAUCAUUGAUGGGGAAUAUACAUGUACAUGUAGAGCAAAAAUUAAUUGAAAAAACACAUAAAUUCCUUAAGGAGAACCCUGAGAGGAAUAUUAUACAUUUCAUAAUGUAUACAAAUAAGUUUCCAUGUUUAAAAAGACGCACAAAAGACAAUACUAACCCUUGUUUUAUUCAAAUUAUAAAAUCUGCCUUUGAAUAUAACAGUGAUAGAGGAGCAGGAAUUGAUGUUUUCUUCACAAAUAGCUGGGGUCCGCUCCACCACACAAAUUUUAAUUUUUUGACAUAUUCCAAACUAAUAAAUACUGGCAAUGUUUUUCAUGAAUACCACCGUAAACAAUACAAUAAAAGAUUUAAGCUGGAUCAAAAGUGUUUCAAAGAUAACACUGAAAUACAAAAAGUACUGGCUCACACAGAUAAACCGCACAGAAUGCAAUUUAUGGAUGAACUGAAAAGAGUUAAGAAUAAACUAACAACUAAGGAACUCACCAUUAUAGAACAUAUAGACUAUUUAGAGGAAGUGGUUUAUAACAAUGAUGCCAAUACAUCAAAAAUUUACAGGGAUAAAAUUUAUGACAUGUUUUUAAAUAUGGAGCUGAAAUAUUUAGAGCAGGAAAUUUUUGUUGUUGUUGAUAUAACAUCAGAUUUCAACAGUAUAAUUGUUAAAUGUUUACUAGAAGACCUUCCAUCCAUUUUGGGGAACAAUAGGUAUUUUAGGCUUCAUCAUGUCCAGCAGGAUGAUCCAGCGAAACAAAUAAUUGAAAUGAUUAAAAAACAAAGAACUAACCAUUGAAUAACUUGAAUGCUCUGUGUUGUCAACGCUGUUGCCAGAAUAAAACAGAUGAUUCCAUCA
rnacentral:lncRNA from 1 species